rnacentral:rRNA from 1 species
GGUCAAGAAGAGAAGCGCAAACGGUGGAUGCCUUGGCAGUAAGAGGCGAAGAAGGACGUGGAAUCCUGCGAAAAGCUAUGGGGAGCUGGAAACGAGCGUUGAGCCAUAGAUGUCCGAAUGGGGGAACCCGGCUGCAGCGAUGCGGUCAUUUGCAUUUGAAUACAUAGGAUGCAAAGGCGAACUCGGGGAACUGAAACAUCUAAGUACCCGAAGGAAAAGAAAUCAAGAGAGAUUCUCCAAGUAGCGGCGAGCGAACGGGGAGGAGCCUGGCGUGAUUUAUUAUUGAACUGAGUAGA